UUUUGACAAUUGAUGCAAACAAUGACGGACACUUGUCAGCGGCUGAACUAAAGGCGCUUAUCAUU
rnacentral:sRNA from 1 species